rnacentral:rRNA from 1 species
AACGCGAAGAACCUUACCUACCCUUGACAUGUACGGAAUUCUGCUGAGAGGUGGAAGUGCUCGAAAGAGAACCGUAACACAGGUGCUGCAUGGCUGUCGUCAGCUCGUGUCGUGAGAUGUUGGGUUAAGUCCCGCAACGAGCGCAACCCUUGUCAUUAGUUGCUACGAAAGGGCACUCUAAUGAGACUGCCGGUGACAAACCGGAGGAAGGUGGGGAUGACGUCAAGUCCUCAUGGCCCUUAUGGGUAGGGCUUCACACGUCAUACAAUGGUACAUACAGAGGGCCGCCAACCCGCGAGGGGGAGCUAAUCCCAGAAAGUGUAUCGUAGUCCGGAUUGGAGUCUGCAACUCGACUCCAUGAAGUUGGAAUCGCUAGUAAUCGCGGAUCAGCAUGUCGCGGUGAAUACGUUCCCGGGCCUUGUA